rnacentral:rRNA from 1 species
AGAAUCAACGCUGGCGGCGUGCCUAACACAUGCAAGUCGAACGAGAAAGUGGAGCAAUCCAUGAGUAAAGUGGCGACCGGGUGAGUAACACGUGACUAACCUACCCUUGAGUGGGGAAUAACUUCGGGAAACCGAGGCUAAUACCGCAUAACACCUACGGGUCAAAGGAGCAAUUCGCUUAAGGAGGGGGUCGCGGCAGAUUAGUUAGUUGGCGGGGUAAUGGCCCACAAGACGGUGAUCUGUAU